UGCCACAGCCAUAUCACCCUGCAGCCCAAGAGCGGUUACUCACUGAAGCUAAGCAGGACUGAGCCUGGUCAGAACCUGGAUGGGAAACCACAUGGGAAAGCUGGGUUGCUGUUGGAA
rnacentral:rRNA from 1 species